UUACACAUGCAAGUCGAACGGCAGCAUGAUCUAGCUUGCUAGAUUGAUGGCGAGUGGCGAACCGGGUGAGUAAUACAUCGGAAACGUGCCCUGUAGUGGGGGAUAACUAGUCGAAAGAUUAGCUAAUACCGCAUACGACCUGAGGGUGAAAGUGGGGGACCGCAAGGCCUCAUGCUAUAGGAGCGGCCGAUGUCUGAUUAGCUAGUUGGUGAGGUAAAGGCUCACCAAGGCGACGAUCAGUAGCUGGUCUGAGAGGACGAUCAGCCACACUGGGACUGAGACACGGCCCAGACUCCUACGGGAGGCAGCAGUGGGGAAUUUUGGACAAUGGGCGAAAGCCUGAUCCAGCAAUGCCGCGUGUGUGAAGAAGGCCUUCGGGUUGUAAAGCACUUUUGUCCGGAAAGAAAUGGCUCUGGUUAAUACCUGGGGUCGAUGACGGUACCGGAAGAAUAAGGACCGGCUAACUACGUGCCAGCAGCCGCGGUAAUACGUAGGGUCCAAGCGUUAAUCGGAAUUACUGGGCGUAAAGCGUGCGCAGGCGGGUUGUGCAAGACCGAUGUGAAAUCCCCGAGCUUAACUUGGAAAUUGCAUUGGUGACUGCACGGGCUAGAGUGUGUCAGAGGGGGGUAGAAUUCCACGUGUAGCAGUGAAAUGCGGUAAAAGAUGUGGAGGAAUACCGAUGGCGAAGGCAGCCCCCUGGAAUAACCACUGACGCUCCGCACGAAGGCGUGGGAGCAAAC
rnacentral:rRNA from 1 species